rnacentral:rRNA from 1 species
UGAGUUUGAUCCUGGCUCAGGAUGAACGCUGGCGGCGUGCCUAACACAUGCAAGUCGAGCGAGAAAUGCUUUGAUGAAACUUCGGUAGAUUCGGGCAUGGAAAGCGGCGGACGGGUGAGUAACGCGUAGGCAACCUGCCCUGUACAGAGGGAUAGCCAUUGGAAACGAUGAUUAAAACCUCAUAACGCAUUUUGACCACAUGAUCUUAAUGCCAAAGAUUUAUCGGUACAGGAUGGGCCUGCGUCUGAUUAGCUGGUUGGUGAGGUAACGGCCCACCAAGGCGACGAUCAGUAGCCGACCUGAGAGGGCGGACGGCCACAUUGGGACUGAGACACGGCCCAGACUCC